GAUGAACGCUGGCGGCGUGCCUAAUACAUGCAAGUCGAGCGAACAGAUGAGGAGCUUGCUCCUCUGACGUUAGCGGCGGACGGGUGAGUAACACGUGGAUAACCUACCUAUAAGACUGGGAUAACUUCGGGAAACCGGAGCUAAUACCGGAUAAUAUAUUGAACCGCAUGGUUCAAUAGUGAAAGACGGUUUUGCUGUCACUUAUAGAUGGAUCCGCGCCGCAUUAGCUAGUUGGUAAGGUAACGGCUUACCAAGGCGACGAUGCGUAGCCGACCUGAGAGGGUGAUCGGCCACACUGGAACUGAGACACGGUCCAGACUCCUACGGGAGGCAGCAGUAGGGAAUCUUCCGCAAUGGGCGAAAGCCUGGCGGAGCAACGCCGCGUGAGUGAUGAAGGUCUUCGGAUCGUAAAACUCUGUUAUUAGGGAAGAACAAAUGUGUAAGUAACUAUGCACGUCUGGACGGUACCUAAUCAGAAAACCACGGCUAACUACGU
rnacentral:rRNA from 1 species